rnacentral:rRNA from 1 species
AUUGAACGCUGGCGGCAGGCCUAACACAUGCAAGUCGAACGAGUGGCGGACGGGUGAGUACUGUCUGGGAACCGGCCUGAUGGAGGGGGAUAACUACUGGAAACGGUAGCUAAUACCGCAUACCAUCAGAUGUGCCCAGUUGGGAGUAGCCAGUUGGUGGGGUAACGGCUCACCAAGGCGACGAUCCCUAGCUGGGCUGAGAGGAGGACCAGCCAAACUGGAACUGAGGCACGGUCCAGACUCCUACGGGAGGCAGCAGUGGGGAAUAUUGCACAAUGGGCGCAAGCCUGAUGCAGCCAUGCCGCGUGUAUGAAGAAGGCCUUCGGGUUGUCAAGUACUUUCAGCGGGGAGGCGUUACCCGCAGAAGAAGCCCCGGCUAACUCCGUGCCAGCAGCCGCGGUAAUAC